AAGCCUGGGAAGCCGACGUGAAGUUGGCG
rnacentral:sRNA from 1 species